GCUGGAGUGAAGAAUGUACCAUGCCCACAAAAGGGGGGUGGUCAUUCAGGCCCAAGGAACAACCAUAAAGAUGAUUUAAAACCGGACAUAUCCAAGAGGACUGUAAAAAAGGAAACACGGUCUCCAAGGAGACCUGAUUCAUUUAAUAGGGAGAAAUCGAAGGGGUGAACACUUCUCUUAAUGCCCUCCUGGGUAGCAUCCAACAGCCAGGCACUUUUGGAAAACUUUGUGUGGAGUUUCAGUGAAUGAGAUGACAACCACUCACCAACCACUGAAGGAAGGAAAUGCACAAACGGCUCAAGCAUCAGCCAGGGAUGGGAGCAUCUGAUCGCACAUCAGCGCCCCCUGGUAGUCAAUGCUCGCCCCCCCCCCCAUGUUCGUCUGCUGAGAUGCUUGCAGAGUGUCCUCCUCCAGCUCAUGUCUGUGUGAGCCUGACUUUCUAUACUGCGAUGCGAUGAGAAGCGGUGGCUGACAUCUCACGCUUCAGAGGAGAGCUCAUGCUCUUGUGUGCUCUCUCCCAAAUUGACAGCGGGGGUUUCCAUCGGACCUUCCAAACCGGAGAGGUACAGGGAGGAAGCAUGAAAAACAGAACAGCAGGAAAUGUCAAAGUAUGAGGUCACGUACCAGAUGCAUAGUACCAUAUGCAUAUGCUUACAGCGAAACAUUUCCUUUAAUUGCACAUUUGCUGCUUGCUGCUCAGAUCUCUACAAACAGCUGGCUGGCAGGAUGUAGGGUUGCAGGGAAUGCAGAGAAGAGCAGGUAUCAGGCUCUCAGACGUCUGCACCGAACAUAAAAAGGCUCCAGAAUAAAUGAAUCUUGUGUUGUUUAUGCGGCACAAAUCUGUUUCUGUGCACUGCUGUGUAAUAUAGUCUGUUAGAAAUAUUGUAAAUUUGAAUAAAUGUAAUUGCCUUUAUGAAAGCCGGUUCAUAAACACUAAUAUAAGAUGCAGGCAUGCGUGGGGGAAAAUAAUCAUUAAAAUGGAUUGCGUCAGAAAUCCAUGCGCGUACAUGCUAGUCUAUAAAGUAGCCGCUUUCCUAUUAUUCCUGAUGCCAUCCCCUCACAGCCUGUUCAACAAUCACUGGGAAGGGAGCAUUUCUGGGGUAACACAUUUGUGGCUGUGUAACCAGAAAAUGUUUACAGAAUUAAACAGUCCCCAUGGUAUUAGGCACCUUCUAACCCCCUCACCCCCAACACACACACACACACACAGGAUGCCUGCCAAUGGAAUAGUACAACUGCAUUUGUCCACCGCCCCAAAGCAGACCACAGUAUAUCUGGUUUCUGAAUAUCAGCCUGUGCUUUGUCGGACGGAGUGCUUUUCUGCAGAAUUGCAGGCAGGCUGCGCGAUGUUGCGUGAGAUUCCGGGAGCGCAGCAGGACGCUGGACCGAAACAGACUCGCCGAAAAUAAGCCAGGACGCGUG